rnacentral:lncRNA from 14 species
UGAAAUUUAGGUUAAAAUAGAUUUGAAGGUUUGUCCUCCUGCACAGCAGAGAAAAGACCUAAAUGUGACAGUUAGUAUAGCUGAAUAGUUGGAAGAAGAAAUCAAUGUUCAAAUGGGUGUGAAGAUGCAAUUUUUCCCCAAGGGAACCCUCCCUUGGUCUGUGAAGCACAAGGGCUGAGUGCUCUGAUGCAAGCUUUCAUAUCCCUUAUGAGAGGGAAUAAGGGAAGAUCCUGGGGCUCCACAAUUUAUUGCUGUGCUUUUACACAAUCCCUGAUCAGUGUGGGAGCUGGAAUCAAGACUCAGGAUCCCCUCUUCAUGGAGAAAGCACCGACUGCUGGACUGCAAGGCUGUACAUCCUCCUGCAAGGUCUGGGGCUGGAUUGGUUCCACAGCUUCAGUGUGCCCCCAGUGGGGCUCCUCUGCCACAGCAUUUUGCAGCCCCAUGGAUGCAUCCCACACUGUCUGUAUCUCCUCAGAUGCUGCAAGAAAACUCACUCAGUGCACCACGUCUGAGCUAGGGAAUCAAAAAGACAGACUGCUGAUUGCUUCAUCUGCAAGGAGCAAGCCAUUAUCCUGGAGGCGCUUUGUGCAGGAGAAAAAGCAUCCUUAUUAGCCUGCCCAGGCUCAUGAAAUUAUGGAAGAGCCACACACCAAGCUUCAUGCAGAAGAAAGGUUGAUGCUGCUCUACAGUUUUGCUCAGGAAAGGAUUGUCCAGUUACAGUAUAUUGACUUGUGGUGCUCAGCAGCAAGGAGAUGCUGAACAGAUGUGUGUGAGAGAGCAGAGGGGGAGGUGGACUCCUUGAUAAUGUAUUCUGACUGAAAAAAAUCCCCUUUCCGACUGAGGCAUUGCUGUAAAUGAAAUAAUUUAUUCACCCUAGGCUUUGCCUUCACAUGUGCUAUUCCUCUGACAAACCAGCACUAAACCUAUGUUGACUUGCCACACGCACCACCCAAGUGUGCUUAUACACCCAGCCCUUCAGACAAGAUUCAACCCUGAAAACUGGAGUCAGUACUCAAGAAGGUAUCUUGGUCUUUUUUAGGAGCCUCUCACAGAGGGCAAGUACCUUGAUAUUUUCAGUAACAUUCCCACUCCUCUUAGGUUUCAGAAGGAUUUUGUUUGUGUUUAGUGGAUCUUUCAUUUAUAAAUGACUCAUAUUGCUCUGAACAGAAAGUAACUGGCCUUUCUUCUACACAGCUCUUGAAGAAGUGCCAAAGAACCUCACUGCUCCACUUUACAUAGCUUGACUAUAUUUAGUGUGUGCUAUACCAAGAACUGUAACACAGCCUGUGAAUCUUGUCUUUUGUUCAAGAGAUGCAGUGGUUGCAGGCUUUGGUCUCAGUCAGGGAUAUGUUCAUAAGCUUUCAUGUCUCCUGGUUGACAAGCAUCAUCACUCCUUCCUUCAGCCCUGUGUCCCGCAGAAGAGCAAGGUCACUGGUUCAUGCACUGUGUGCGAUACAGGAGAAAAAUCGAGUAAGAAUUUUUUAAUAAAUAUAUUUUUUAUAUAACA